GCCAUCUUGGCUCCACCUUAAACUUAUUUUUAAAGAAUAUUUUCAAUCUACACUUUGUUGAAUACACAGAUGUGGAGCCCAUGAAUUUGGACGGCUGACUGUAUUAUUCAAAAGAAAAUGAGCCUUCAACUCCUUCUGCAAAGGGGAGAUCAGCCUUCACCACUUCAGUCAUUAUACUAAAACAUGAUCAUUUCUUUCCCAUUUCAAUCACAAUCUUCUUUUGAUAGCCUGUAACUUAUGUGUGAAUUAUAAAGUUAGCCACCUACAACAAAACCUAUAUGAAAUAGAAGGGUAAAGAAAGAAGGAAACAUUAGUAUUAAAUAUACCAAUUCAUACAUGCAUAGAUAUGGCUAGCUACUGUAGUACUUAUUUCUAAAAGUCAGAAGAUGGCAUUUUUAAUUUCCUUUAUCAUUAUCUACACCACAUUCUUUUCAGCUGUGGAAAGCUUUGACAUUCUUAGCGUAUAUCUGGUAGAACUGAAACCUUCAUUUGUGAUGUGUCUGAAUCUUUAGUGAUUCUGCUGUAGUAAAUUGCUGUUGUUUUCCAUCAUCUUUUAUUCCUGGAUCUGACAGUACAGGAGGUGCCUCAGAGGACCCCAUUGGUUGUUUAACAGCAACCCCCUCCCCUAUAAUAAUCUGAACCAUUCACUUCAGCUAAUGAAAUAAUUGACUUUUAUGCCCACUGUUUGGUGAAAAAAAAAUGCCAGUUGCUUUUUUCAACCCCUCAUUAAACUAACUAUGGUUGUGUACCCUGAUCUCUUGAGUGCUGAAAUAUCCAAAACAACAUAGCCAAAAGCCAGAAUGAUAGAAACAAACAUUUUGUCAGUGGACAUUAGGUAUAACAGGGACAGGCAUCCAUUCUGAUUUCUCUUUAAGAAAUCUGUUUGUUCCCGGACCUGUGAAUUUUGGUUAUGGAUUUACAGAGCCUAUUGGAAGAUACAUUCCAUUUAUAAUCUGACCUCUGUAAGUACUUACUUACAGAGGACUUACAAAUACACCAUAAUGGCUUUCUGGUUCCAUCAGAAUUAGAAUUAACUCAGAGCCAGUGAACAAUAAUCCCCAAAAUGUUUGAAGAUUUUCCUUUCUCCAAUGCGCAAUGACCUUUGUAAAUAGCUGUAGUUUUCUUCAGGGAAGACUAGGAAGAAUGUUUGCAGUUCAUACUGGAGAAAGCAUCACAACAUCAUUCCCCAGUGAUACUCAGCCUCUCAAUCAUUCCAGAUAUAUUUGUGUUGUAAACUUACUUAGGUCUCAGCAGUAGUUGAGAGAUGAUGAUCUCACAUUACGGUGAUUUAAAUCAAGUUUUUGUUCAGUCUACCUAAAGUUUUUGUCUGUUUGUUUUGUUUUAUGUUGUUUUUAGUUAUACAGAUUAUAUACAAACAAAGUAUACUUUGUAUCUGAUCUGUACUUGGAAUGUUCAAUUAAAUAGCCACUCCUCAAAUGCCUGUAGGUAAAACCAUUCUGAUGACCAGUCUGUCCCUACUCACCAUACUUCCAUUGGUGCAGUGAUGCUUCUUGUUCUCAUUCAGGAUCUUAACAUUCUCAAAGAAAUAUGAUGUUUCAUUCCACUUAUAGCAUCUCUCACCUUCAUUCUUAUCUUCAUAUGACAAUCAUUGUGUCUGUUGCUUCUAUUACCAAUGUAUUUCUCAAUGCCUUUGUGGAAUGAAUUCCUUUCAGAGGACAAAGUCAGGAGAUAUUUUGAUAUGUUUAUUUCAAAUCAAAAUCCUUGUCUCCCUGACUCUUUAGAUUGCCUUUUCUAAAUUUUACCAAGGAAUUCACGGCAUUUCAACCUCAUUCAAUAUAUGUCACCUGCUAUAAUCUGAAUUUUUUUUUGCCCCCAAAAUUCCUCUGGUGAAAUUCUCACCCCCAAGGUAGUGGUAUUGGGAGAUGGGCCUUUGGGAGAUGAUGAGGGCAUGGGGUAGAGUUCUUAUGAAUGGAAUUAGUGCUUUUAUAAAUGAGGCCCAAGAGAGACCCCUUGUCCUUUCCAUCAUAUAAGGACACAGUGAGAAGAUGACAUCUAUGAACCAGAAAAAGGGGCCUCACCAGGGAAUACACCAGUAGAUUCAGAUACUGAAUCUACUGCCACCUUGAUCUUAGACUUACCAGUCUCCAGAACUGUGAGAAAUAAAAUAGUUUUUAAAAGCUACCCAGCCUAUAGUAUUUUGUUAUAGCAGCCUGAAUUAACUAAGAUACUACUCUUGAGAUAAAGUUUUAAAUAAAACAUUGAGCAAAAAUUAGAACUAUAUUCAGCUUCUUGAGUCAGUGUAUCAAAUUCAGAAUUUCUAGUAAUUUAAAAAUUACAUCUUAAAAAUUCAUGCUGAUCUAAAAUAUUUUCUCCUUUUUUACCAUAUCACUCUCAAAAUCCAUUUUCAUGAAGAUUCUCCAGAUAUUUGCUGAUGUACAUCUAAAAAAUCUUUCAAAAUAUGUGGCAUUUAAAUGUUCUUCCUGCAGGUUAAACAUUUUACUUGGCUGCCUGGAAAAAGCUGAGAUGUGAUUCUGAUUACAAGUUUGGAAGCAAUUAAAAAUGGUGGGAUUGGGAGAGGAGAAGAUUUGACACUGUACUGCAAAGAAGUCAUCGCAGUAUCUUCAAGCUAGUCAGAACUGGCCUUAUAAAACAGGAAAAUAAAGAAUGUUUCAGAUUGCAAGGAAACAUAGUGAAGGCAAGAAGGUGACCAACUGCAAAUCAGGGAGAGGACUCUCACCAGACACCAAAUCUGCUGGCACCUUGAUCCUGGACUCCUCAGCCUCCAGAACUGUGAGAAAUAAAAUAUUUGUUUUUUAAGGCAUCCAUUCAUGGUAUUAAUUAUAGCAGCCCCAGAUGAUGAAGACAAGAGGCUACUAGUUGUUAACUAGAACCUCACUGCCUUUAAACUCAAAUAAACAAAGUAAUCAACCCCAGGUUCUUAACUUUGAAGAACUAUUACAUGUGGCCAUUUUUGGUGUCUACUACUAUAAUGGUCAGAAUUUUGUUUCAGGUAAAACAGACUACUAGCUCUUUUAAACAAAAGUGAUUUGACACAGGGGAUUGAGCACUGACACAUUAUUGGAAGGUGUGAUUUUAUGUGUGCCUUUGUCUAGACCACAAUACCUGGAUAUUUGAUCAAACCUUAUUCUAAAUGUUCCUGUAAAAGUAUUUUUUAGAUGAGGGUAACAUUUAAUCAGCAGAUUUUGAGUAAAGCAGGUUACCCCCUAUAAUGUGGGUGAUUUUCUUUCAAUUAGUUGAAGGCCUUAAGAGAAAAGAAAAACUGAGGUCUCCUGAAGAAGAGUGAAUUUUGCCAGCAAAUGGCAUUUACACUUGAACUGGAACAUCAAAACUUCCUUGACUCUCUCACCUGCUGGCCCAUCUUGUAGAUCUUUGACUUGCCAGCCUCCACAAUCAUGUGAGCCAAUUGCUUAAAAUAAACCUGUCUGUCUGUCUGUGUAUACACACACACGUCCUAUCAGUUCUCUUUCUCUGCAAAAGAAGAAGAGUUGAUUCUAAACUUGUCUCAGGGAUUACUCUCAAAACACAUUCCUGAAAUGCCAAACUAGGAAGAUAGCAACCUUGCCAUAAUUGAGGUAUGGGUAUCAGGAAACAGGAAACCGACAUGGAAAUUUUGGCUACAGAAUUACCUCACUGUAGUUGAAAUCCAUGUAUAGAAAGCACAUCUAAAUCCAUACUAAAUAUUUUAGGUCUGCACUGCUAAAUUAAAUUAAAUCUAAAAUAACAUAAAAAAAUAAAAUGAAUGUCCAUGUCCUGCCUCUUUCUUAACAUUUAUAAAACUAAGUAAUUGUCAUUGUUACUUUGGCUAAUAACGUUGCAGAAAAUCCAAGCUCCUCCAUGACUACUCAACAGCAAGAAGUACAAGAACCUCAGAAGUGUGGCCUCUUCUUCCCUUCCUCUUCAAUAUGUCCUGAACCUCCAGCAAAAUAAUGAGUAUCUUGACUCUUAUUGCACAUACAAUCUUUCCAGGGCUCUAUUCUGAAGCACUACAAGAGGAAACAGACUGGAACGACAAAGCUGAAUAGAGAGACCUAUGGAAGACAGAGAACUACAGAAAUCUAUUCUUUAUAUAUAAGUUAAGGCAAAACAAAUAUAUCAAUUUUACUAAAGCUUUUCAAUACUUAGACCCUGACAUGUGUAAAUGUGAAUAAACAUAUAUAUACAUACAAAUAUGCACCUUUAAAAUAAAAUAAGAGUGUAACUUGGUGAUGAGAAAAAAGAGAAGCAGUAAUAGCCAAAGUGUGGACUCGGAAGGGAAGAAGAAUGAGGUGGAGGCUUUCUUUCUUUUUCUGGCCUCAAGUUUCCAUAUGGAGAGACUUCAUACUGUAGAAAUAUCUAUCUACUACCAAUUUGAGAUCCUCCCCCAAAUCCUUACUCACUCCUUCCUAGGGGAAGAAUCAUGGUUUAUCUGAUUCAUCAUCACACUUUAGAGUUAUUGAACUUUACCACUGAUUAACAAAUUAAUCUGGUGAGCAAAUAAUCAGAGUAAAAUGAUACAACAUUUAAUUAGAUGUAAACUACAAGGCAUCUGGUGUCACCUAGGAAAGAAACAGGUGUCAGUGGUGACAUAUUUCAACCCUAUUGCACAAAUUCAGCAAGAGAACACCCACAAUCCACAUGUUACUGUGUUUGCCACACCUACGUUAUUAUGGGAAUCAGGAAAUCUGGAGUGACUGGCACUAAGAUAUUAAAUAGAAAUCUGGAAGUUACUAUCAUUUAUAUUGUCUUCCUAUGGAAUUCUCAUAUGUGCAGGUAAGUGUCCCAAAGGGAAGAAAAUUGUGCUUGGUUUGAUGGCUAUAAUUGACAUUGCAUAGGGUGAUCUACUCAAAAGACAAUGCAAAUUCAAUACCAAUAAGUUGAGUAAUAGGGUAAAAGGACAAACCAAAAGCUUGUACAUUUUUAUUGUUCUUACUGGAUGUAUGUACUUAUGUACAUGUAUGAAUAUGAAAAUAUUAUAAGUAGAGAUACUUUAAAAUGUGUAUCAAUGUGUGCACAUUCAUAUUUAUAAGAUCUAUAAUAUACAAGUAUAUAUUAUAUAUACUAUAUAUAAGUAUAUAUUUAUAUAUUAUGUAAGUAUAUAUUAUAUAUUAUAAGUAUAUAUAAUAUAUAGCUAUACAUAAUAUAUACUUAUUAUAUUAUAUAUUUUAUAUAUUUAUAUAAUAUCUUUGCCAUAAAAAAUACAUUAUGGAAAAUUUGAAACACAUACAAAAGUAGAGACAAUGGUAUAAUGAAUACCCCAUGUACCGAUAACCCAGGUCAACAAUUAUCUUCUCAUUGCUAAUUUAUUUCUUUUGUACCCCUACCCAUUUUCCCCUUUCCCCUUCCUGAUUAUUUCAAAACAAAUCCCAGACAUGAUAUUAUAUCAUCUGUAAGUAUUCUAGUGUUUGUUUCUAAAAGGCAAGAACCCCACUUUUAAAUAUAACCACAACACCAUCAUUACAUUUCACCCCCUACCUUUCAUUAUGUGAAGUCAACAAUAAUUCCUCAAUAUCACUAAAUAGCCAGUCAGGGUUCAAACUUCAGUUGUCAUACAAACGUUGUUGCUUUUUAAUAGUUCAUCUGCAUUGGAAUUGAAUUGAAUUGAAAUAGAAAAAGUUCCAGAUCUGAGGUUGGCUAAAGGUCUCUUAAGAGCCUUUUACUCUACAAGUUCCCUUUCACCUUUUUAUUUUUCUUGAAGUUUUUUGUUUGUUUAUUUUUGGUUGUUGUUGAGGGAAACAGGUUGCUUGUCCUGUAGUGUUUCUCAUGUCCUGGAAUUUAAUAUUGCAUACUCUUAGUCUCAUCCAAUGUGUUUCUCUCUUAUGAACUGACACUUAUCUAUAGGUUUAAUCAAAUUAAAAGUCAAUAUUUUGGCAUGACUUUAUUAUAGAAGGUAUUGUUUACUUCUAUCAGGAACUGAAUCAUAUCUACUUGUCUUUCUUUUUUAAUGUUAGCAGCUAUUGAUAUUUAUUUUCUGGGUCUAUUCAUUUAGUAUGGGAUAUAAAAUGAUUACACAUCUUCUUCAUUUGGUAACAAAAACUUUCCCUCAUCAAAUUGUUUGUUUACCUUAUGAUACAAUUUGUAUGUGAAUAAAUACUUACUUCCCUUUAUCAUUUUUUAAAAUAGCAAAUUGGUGGUGACCAAUUUUUUCCUUCUGAAUAAAAUCAUUAAUUCAUAAAUUUAAGUAUAUUUGAUAUACUUUAGUCUGCAAAAGUUAUUAUCUUUGUUGACAUUAAUAUUGCCCCAUCUUUGCAUAAUGAGAGCUUACUAUUGUUGGUUCCAGGGUCUUUUUGACGUAAAUCUAGCAGUCAUUGAUAGCUUUAUAUUUUAUUACAAUAAGAUAGUCCAAGCUUGUCCUGUAUUUCCUAACUCAGAGCUAGUAUUGCCUAUCUUUCAAAAUAUUCUUCAUUCCUUUUUUAUGGAAAUGGUAUUUACAGACCAAAAUCUAGGCCCUCAUCACUACUGGGUCAAUCUUUUGUCUAAGAUUUUUUGUGGAUUCAGUUAGAUAGUACAUGUUAAUUUAAAUACUAAUACAUGCAAAUAAAAUUAAGAACUACAGGGUUUUGACUUAACCUUAACCAUCUUGUAUUACCUUUCUUCACAUCAAAACUUCUAGUAUUCAAGGAAGCUAAAAUAAUCACUCAAUAGCUUUAUUUAUUUAUAUUAUAUAUAACACUCAUAACAGGCCUAAAACUCCCUUUAAUAAUAUGAUUGCUGAAAAACAGUUUAAGAUUUGUUUACAACUGUGUGUACUUGGGGAUGUACUCUCAAAUUACUGUGUUUUAGUCAUUUGGAAUAGUUUCUAUCUUGGUUCCACCAGCUGGGUACACAGAUUCAUUUUGAUACAUUUUGCCUUGAUGUUUAGGGCUUACUUUUAAGUUUCAAUUUUAUUUUAUAAAUAUGUAAAAUAUGUAUGUGGUUCUAAAAUCAAAUCCAUAAAACAACUUAUAUUCAUAAAAGUUUUACCUCUAUUUUUGUCUUUUCCAUAUAACUCUCUCCCUAUUUAGAUAACUCUGUUACAUCAUUACUACUUUGUAAUUAAGACACACACAUAGGCAUAUACAGGCAUUAACUAGCAGCAUACUAUAUGAUCUGGUUUGGCUGUGUCCCCACCAGAAUCUCAUCUUGAAUUUCCAUGUGUUGUGGGAGGGACCUGGUGGGAGGUAAUUGAAUCAUGGGGACAGGUAUUUCCCAGGCUGUUCUCAUGAUAGUGAAUAAGUCUUACAAGAUUUGAUGGUUUUAAAAGCAGGAGUUUCCCUGCGCAAGCUCUCUCUUUGCCUGCUGCCAUCCAUGUAGAUGUGACUUGCUCUACCUUGCCUUCUGCCAUGAUUGUGGGGCCUCCUCAGUCAUGUGGAACUGUUAAGUCCAUUAAACCUCUUUUUCUUCCCAAUCUCGGGUAUGUACUUAUCAGCAGUGUGAAAAUGGACUAAUACACUCUACAUACUUUUUCACCUUCCUUUCUGAUUUAACUACAUAUUCCUGAGAUUAUUCUAUAGUAAUAUAUAGAUAUAUUAACCUUUUCUAUGAUAGGUACAUAGAUUUCUAUUGUGUUGAUAUACCACAGUUUCUUCAAUCUAUCCUUCACUGUUAUUUGAACUUUGUUUACAGACAUAAAAGAUAUAUUCUAGUCCUUAAAAAAAAGCUAUAUUUGGCAGGGUGUGGUGGCUCCACCUGCAAUCCCAGCAGUUUGGGAGGCUGAGGCGGGUGGUUCACCUGAGGUUAGGAGUUCAAGACCAGCCUGGCCUACAUGGUGAAAUCCUGUAGUAAAAAUACAAAAAAAUUAGCUGGGCAUGGUGGCGGAUGCCUGUUAUCCCAGCUACUUGGGAGGCUGAAGCAGGAGAAUCGCUUGAACCUGGGAGGCAGAGGUUGCAGUGAGCUGCGAUCCCACCACUGCAUGCCAGCCUGGUCAACAGAGCAAGACUGUGUCUCAAAAAAAAAAAAAAAGAAAAAAGAAAAAAUAUAUAUUCAAGCCCCGGUACUUGUAAAUGUGACCUUAUUUGUAAAUAGGGUUUUUGCAGAUAUAAUCAAGUUAAGAUGAGGUCAUCCUCCUAUGUUAGUUAGGCCCUAAUUCAAUAUUUUGGUGAUCUUAUAAGAAGAGGAGAGAAGCCAACAGGGAGAAGAUAGCCAUGUGAGACAGAGACAGAGAUUGGAGACAAGAACUGCCAAGGACUGUCAGAAACCAGAAGAGGCAAGGAAAGAUUCCUUCCUACAGGUUUCAGAGGGAGUAUGGCCCUAUUGAUAGCCUGAUUUUAGAUUUCCAGCAUUCAGAACUGGGACACAAUUUUUUGUUUGUUUGUUUUUUUAAACCACAUAGUUUUUUACACCAUAGUUAUUACUUUUUUACAGCAAUCCUGGGAAACUAAUAUACUUACUGAUUGCCAUUUUGGUAGUUUCUAGUCUUCUGCUCUUGGAAACAAUGCUGUGAUGAAAAUCUUUGUAAAUACAUCAUUUUAUAUAUUUUUUCCAGAGUACUUUGCAGUGGAGUUUUGGAAAUGAGAUUGCUGGUCAAAGGGUAAAUACAUAGGUAGUUUUGGAAGACAGUCUCAAAUUCCCUUCUAUACGGGUUUUAUUAUUUUGCUUCGUGAGCAAUAAUUUUCAAUGUGCCUAUUUCCUUACACUUAAAAUUUUGCCCAUCUGAUAGGUGAAAAAUUAUUUUUCAAUAUAGUUUUAAUUUUAAUUAUCUCUUAUUGGUAAGGCUGACUGUAUUUUCAUAUGGUUAACAGCCAUUUGAUUUCUUCUGGUCGGGGUACUAUCUGUUCAUAUAUUUAGCCCAUUUUUCUAUGAAGGUAAGUCCCCCUUCCCAUCUAGAGUUAUUUUUAUAUUGGAAUUAUUAAUUAUUUGAGAUAUGUUAAAUACCCCAGUUCGUUUUUUGUCUUUUUAUUUGCUUAUGAUGUUUUUUCAUUUAUUUAUUGCCAUCCUUAAGACAUUUUAAAGUCUUUAUUUCUUGAAUUCACCAGUGAUAUAUAAUCAGUUCAUGGAGAAAAGAUACUUUUAUUAAGAAUAAAGCUAACAUAGAGGACUUUUUAGACGGUCUUCCAGAUUUUUUUAUAAUGUAAUGGUAUAUUAUUGGUUUUAUGCUUAAAGUUGAUUUUGAGGAAUUCUGACACAAUUCUAAGUUGCAUGGCUUAUAGCACUCAGAAAGAUAAAGGAAUCUUUGCUUGAAUUAACACUUUCUCAUCAGCCUUUGGUGUAUGGAUAGAAAGUACCAGAUUAUCUAUUAGUAAGAAACGAAUCAGCACUUACACAUUUGAAAAAUACAUUCACUGUUUAAAAUUUACUCAGUUGACAUUUAAAUAUGCCACACAUAUUCUUUAGCAAUUCAACUUUUAUCAAACACUAAACAUUUAUUGUCUGUUGCCUAUGAACAUGUGUCUUCUUCCAAGUGAAUUUAUCAUCUAAAACUGGUCUAUUUUACCCAGAUCCUACAAGUAAUUAUCUCUACAAGCUUCAGCAAAUGCGCUUUUAGUUCCUGUCUGUGUAAGAUGAGGUGGCUAGAAUAAAAUAUUCUAAAGCUCAUUUCAACUCUAAAAUAUAUUAAUCUGCUUCUGUAGUAAGGAUCUCACAUUUCUUAGGAAACCCUUGAAUAGAUCUUAUCUCUUUUCAUUUAGACAAAAUUAAUUUCAGCACCUCUUGGUUGAUAGAUACAAAAAUGGAACUUCACAUAGUUCCAUUCCCUUUCUGCCAUGCAGAGUGAAUGGCCUGAGAACACAUUUAUAACUGAGAGGUAGGGGAGCAGGCUGACUCACCUGCAGGGCCUUGACUUCUGUAGAUACCCAGCUCCUUCAGGAAGCGCUGAGGAGUGCUCUCAUCCUCCCUCCAGGAGGGAAGGAAGACAGGCAAGAGGAGGAGAGGAGGUUCACCAGAUUCCUCCUAAGCUGACAUUGUCCCUGAUAAUUUCUAUGGCCCAAUUUGGAGCCUCAGCUUCAGUAAAUUCUGACAACUCAGGAUAAAAGGACCCCACCACGUUGUGCUCCCCUAUGACCUAUUCUUUUCUUUCAUGCAAGUUAUAUUUAAAAACCAUGUAUUUUAUGUUUGUUUAUGUGUUUACUGCUUGCCUUUGGGACAAGAUUGUAAGCUCUCUAAGGACAGGGAUCAGAUAUUGUUUUAUUUUAAACAAAUGCAUAUGUAAUUAAUUUUAUAUUUUAAAUUUAUUGUUAUUGCAUUUUCCAUUUGAAUUUAUUAUUUAAUAAUUUUAAUAAAUUGUAAUAAUGAAUGUGAUUGUAGCUAAUUCUCAUUAUUUGGGGAUUCCCUAUUUGUGAGUUUACCUAUUCACUAAGAUUUAUUUGUAACAUCCAAAUCAAUACUCCCAAUGCUUAGUAGUCAUUGCUGGACAUACCAUGUGCAGAAUGGGGAAAAGCAAAGUGGCCUGAUGUGCACAUUCCUGGUUGAGGGUCCCAGCUGAGGUUGAACAAGAUGACAUUCUCUUAUUAUUUCAGGUCUCAUACUGUAAACAAGUGUACUUUCUGUGAUCUAUUUAAUGCUACAUUUUUCACAUUUUUGUGUUUUAUUAUUGAUAGUUUUCUUGCUUAAAAUGGCCCUCAGGCAUAGUGCUGAAGUGCUAUCUAGUGUCCUCAAGCACAGGAAGCCUAUGACGUGCCUUACAGAGAAAGCACUCAUGUUAAUAAGCUCCUUUCAGGCAUGAGUUCUGUGUGGUUGGCUGUGAGUUCAAUAUUAAUGAAUAGACAAUAUAUGUUUUGCAUGGUGUCUUUAAACAGAAACAUAAAACAUACAACAAGCAACAAGGCUAUGUAUUGAUUAUUUGAUUAAAACGUUGUGACAAGAGGCUCCCAGGAACCCAACCCUGUAUUUCCUCUCCGUGACAAUGAUUCAGUAUGUGCUAAUUCAGUAUUCACAGAGACUCUAUAGAACAUAACUACUUCAAAUAAUGAAAAUUAACUGUGUUUAAUUUUUAUUUUUCUUUUAAAUGAAUGAAUAUCAAUGUAAUAAAUAUUUAUACCUGUCAUAUAGUUGGUUACUAAUAAAUGUUUAUCAAAUGAACAAUUAAAUGAAUGUUGAUUGUGAUCAGAACCGUGAUCUUGAUAAAAGGGUU
rnacentral:lncRNA from 10 species